GACGAACGCUGGCGGCGUGCUUAACACAUGCAAGUCGAACGGAAAGGCCCUGCUGGGGGUGGGUGCGCGAGGGGCGAACGGGUGAGUAACACGUGAGUAACCUGUCCUUGACGGUGGGAUAACGGCAGGGAACGCGGGCUAAUACCGGAUAGAAUCUUCUGAUGCGGGGUGGGGGGUGGGAAGUUUCGGCGGUGGGGGAUGGACUCGCGGCUUAUCAGCUUGGUGGGGGCGUGGUGGCUUACCAAGGCUUUGACGGGUAGGCGGCCUGGGAGGGUGACCGGGCCCAUGGCGACUGAGAGACGCCGACGACUGGUACCGGAGGCAACAGUGGGACAUAUUGCACAAUGGUGGGACGCCAGAUCCACCAGCGCCGCGUGCGCCAUGAGGGCCUACGCGUUGUACACCGCUUUCGCAGGUGCCGAACCGUUAGUGACGGUAAUUACUAAAGAAGCACCGGCUAACUACGUG
rnacentral:rRNA from 1 species